rnacentral:rRNA from 1 species
GACGAACGCUGGCGGCGUGCUUAACACAUGCAAGUCGAACGAUGAACCCGGAGCUUGCUCCGGUGGAUUAGUGGCGAACGGGUGAGUAACACGUGGGUAACCUGCCCAUAAGACUGGGAUAACUCCGGGAAACCGGGGCUAAUACCGGAUAACAUUUUGAACCGCAUGGUUCGAAAUUGAAAGGCGGCUUCGGCUGUCACUUAUGGAUGGACCCGCGUCGCAUUAGCUAGUUGGUGGGGUAACGGCUCACCAAGGCAACGAUGCGUAGCCGACCGGGGGGGGUGUUCGGCCAACCUGGGCAUGGAACACGGCCCAGACUCCUACGGGAGGCAGCAGUAGGGAAUCUUCCGCAAUGGACGAAAGUCUGACGGAGCAACGCCGCGUGAGUGAUGAAGGCUUUCGGGUCGUAAAACUCUGUUGUUAGGGAAGAACAAGUGCUAGUUGAAUAAGCUGACACCUUGACGGUACCUAACCAGAAAGCCACGGCUAACUACGUGCCAGCAGCCGCCGUAA